rnacentral:rRNA from 1 species
UACGUAGGGGGCAAGCGUUACCCGGAUUUACUGGGCGUAAAGCGCACGUAGGCGGAUUGUUAAGUCAGGGGUGAAAUCCUGGAGCUCAACUCCAGAACUGCCUUUGAUACUGAAAAUCUUGAGUCCGGGAGAGGUGAGUGGAACUGCGAGUGUAGAGGUGAAAUUCGUAGAUAUUCGCAAGAACACCAGUGGCGAAGGCGGCUCACUGGCCCGGUACUGACGCUGAGGCACGAAAGCGUGGGGAGCAAACAGG